CUCGGCUCGGCUCGGCUCGGCUCGGCUCGGCUCGGCUCGGCUCGGCUCGGCUCGGCUCGGCUCGGCUCGGCUUCCCGGGUCUGCUGGCGCGGCGCUGGGAGGCACUGCGGCCGUCUGUGAGGGAGGGCAGCGGUGAGGCAGCUGGGUUUAUGGCCCAGGUUUCCAGGAGAGAUGGUCAUAGCUGUGUGUGUGUGUGUGUGUCGACCAAGGGAAGAGCCUUACAUAUGGUUCUUGUAUAUCGGCGUGCAAGCCCGGAAAGUACUAGGAACAACUUACUUAACGUGUAGCUGGAGAUGAAGUGGGUACUCUGAGCCUGGCGGCAGACUGGAUGUAGCCUUUGUCAGAAUAGCAGUAUUUCAGUCUGAAAGCACAGCAUUUCUGUGACCAGCUGCUUGUGUUUCUGCUGCAUUGGCCCACAGCGAUUCAGACAACACAGAGCAACACAGAAGUGUACUGCAGUUCAUCAUUUAAGGUAGAGAAACUUACUCAUUAUGAGAACAGAUGUGCCUUCUUUCUCCUACGUGUGUGCUGCUGCAGCUGAGCACCUCAGUGCCAAGUACAAAUCUGAGCCAAGGUUUGGUGGCUGAAGUGAAGCCAGUAGGAUGUGCUUACGUGCUGCUGAUCCCAGCAGCUUCCUGCAGUGGGUGCAGCUGUAUUUAGACACAGUGUGGAGCUGGGUGCUCUACGUGGAGUUAUUUCUCGGUUCUUUUCAUGAGAAUGUCGCACACAAAGUUUAAAACCUCAACAUCAGUUUGAAAUCCAAAACACUGAAAAAACGGCACUGUAAAACCUGUGAUGUUUAGCUCUUGAGGGCAGCCUUAGAUUGUUUUCUCGAUGCAUAUGAUGCUUGGUUUGAUGCCUAUGUAUCUUUGCUUGGAUGUAAGGGAAAGUCUUUUACAGUGGGGGUGGUGAGGCCUUGGAACAGGUUGCCCAGAGAUGUGGUUGGUGCCUCCGUCUCUUUGUCAUCCGUGAAAUGUUGAGUCAUAGAAUGGCCUGGGUCAAAAAGGACCACAGUGAUGAUCCAGUUCCAACCCCUGCUGUGUGCAGGAUCGCCAACCACCAGACCAGGCUGCCCAGAGCCACAUCCAGCCUGGCCUUGAGUGUCUCCAGCGAUGGGGCAUCCACAACCUCCUUGGGCAACCUGUUUGGUGUGUCACCACCCUCUGGGUGAAAAUUGAUUGAUUGGAGAUUGUGAUUCGGUACCUGGCUGUCAGUGCAGCGUUGCAAACUAAUGUUUAAAUUUAUAGACUGCAUCAAAAAUAGGAGCUGAAUGCAGUGUGUGUGCAGCAGGAGCCUACAGAGGAAGCUGGGCCAGUGAGAAUGCAGAGCAGUCUGGUGACGAUGGCAGCCCUGGACAGCAGCACAGCAAAUGGUAUGUUUUGAAUCUAGUUAACUUCCUAGUGAAAUGCCAGGCAGUAAUCAUCAAGCAGACCUGCUAAUUUCAACAGAGCAGUUAGCAUUUAAUUGAGGUAUGCAAAGAACUGGAACCUGUAGAAACUUCUGUGAGUACUGAGACCCUCUGAAAACUCGUGGCUUCCUCUUCUUUGUGUCAUGCAUCUGAGAUGGUUGUUUUGAGUAAUGGCUUCUCUUUCUGAUGCCUGAUGUAAGUAGCUGUGUUGUAGUUUUGAUCAAGUCUGCCAAAGACCCCGGGCCUCCAACACAGUAAGAAAGGUAGGCAGUUUGAAAUCCUUCUCGACAGUAUAUAGCUAAACAUACAAGGUAAAGUCAGGAUGAAAUUUUGAUUGUAACUGUGUUUUAAAUGAUGCUGGUAGUGCUGCCUGGAAUUAAGCUUGCCUCACGUUUCCCAUGAUAAGACCCUUUUUUCAGUGGCAUCUAACUUUGUCAGGUUUCAGUUGUUUGGGCUGAAACUUUUCAUGCUGAAUGUCUGCUUCAGAUGAAUUGGUUUGGAAAGCUUAAACAAAGAAAUGGUUUCACCAUUUCUGGGAAUGAAAUUAAGAGAAAAAUAUUUUCUUUUGCCAUGCCAACUUAAUUCUGGCGUUUCCCGGUGUAUGGCAACUGUUGAAUCGUGGCCUGAACCUCAGAUUGACCACCUGAGGCGAGCACUGAGUCAGCCGCAGAGGACACAGUUGAACACAGUUUCACCUGAGUGACCGGAAGACCCCAUGUAAGGGCUGACUCUUGGAGCCCUUUGGUGAGCCCACGACCAGGGUAAGCUCUUUAUUUCAUCAUGCCUUUGUAAUGUGGUAAUCUCUCUGGUCCUGUACCCGUAUACCUAUUUGCCUUACAAUCUGUUUACUUGUUUGCUGUACGCCUGGGUUUUGAGUGCUUGGGUCUGCAGCCUUGAUGGUUUUCUAUGUACAUUUAUGUUUCCUUCAGAAAAGGAAAGUUUGUAACAUAAUGCCUACAUACAUACAUUCAGAUAACUGAAGAAUGUUUAAGUUGAUGUGAAAACUGUAAACAAUAAACUUGCAUAAGAAGCGAUCAAUAUAUAUAUAUAUAUAUAGUAUAUAUAGUAAUAUAUCAGUGAUAGGUACCUCUUCUUUGGUCCUCCUUGUUUUACUAACACCCACGUGGUGUCUAGGACAUCUGGAAAUGUUGCUGGAGCCUUUGAAGCCCUAGUCUAUAUGUGUUCAUGCUGGAGGAACUGAAGCUGAAGCGGGGGAAGGAAGUAAUUUUUAACUCCUCCCUAAAUGCCAGUCACUGCCAGGGAGAAGUCAAUCUGGUAUAUGGCAUCUAAGAGAAAAUACAUGGAUACCUGUUACGAAACAGAGAUGCUGUCUGUAAGCACUGCUUGUGUCACACUGCUGUAUUCUAUGUAUUCUUAUUGGGUUUAUAUAAUAAUGAGACCUUCUUUUAUAUCCUACCUAGCGCAGCUGCUGAGGCCUUUGUAGUGGCUCACAAAGAAAGGCCAAAAACGGGACUGGAGAAGAACAGAAGAAGAGGCAUUCCAGGAAGCCAACUUAGCUGCUAAACAGGCCCAGGCACUGGGUAAUAUUCGAUCCUACCCUUACAGCUAAACUAGAUGCAUGCAACUCAAGAUGGGUUUGGCUAGCAUCUAUGGCAGUGCCAAAAUUCUGUUUGAACCCCAGUUGGGUUCUGGUCUUAAGUUUGGCACAGAGCAGAGGAAAGGUACGGUAUGAUUGCAAAGCAGUUAUUGACUGCUUAUUCUGCAUUACAGGUGACAGAGCCAAUAACUCAAACAUCUCCCGUCAUAGUUAAGACCACCCUGUCUUUCUGUCACUACAGGCAUCAUGUGUCAGCCACACGGGUACGGUGUUGAAGUGGAAAAAAGCCUGCAGACCCUGGGAAAACCAUUGGGGGAGAGAGGAGAAGUGCCCUUUGAAGCAUUUGAUGCCCUGCUGGCAUCCAACACCAGCAUGGUCCUUUUCUCUCCUUUUCAGCCUUUUGCCAUCUCUCAGUGGUUGGUAAGUAAUAGCGCGCUUGCUUAGGGAGUUUCUGCUUCUCGCUUACUGGGAUUAUCUACUAUGGGUGCCUGUGUGUGUGUGUGUGUGUGUGUGGGUGUGUGAGGGUGUGUGUGAGGGUGUGUAUGCUGAAGUGAACUCACACAGAUGACACAGAAUGGUGGGGCUGGAAGGGACCUCAAGGAUCAUGAAGCUUCAACCCCGCUGCGGCAAUCAGGGCCACCAACCUCCACACUUAAUACCAGCCCAGGCUGCCCAGAGCCCCAUCCAACCUGGUCUUGAACAGCUCCAGGGAUGGACGGGGCAUACACAGCCUCCCUGGGCAGCUGUUUCAGCACCUCACCACUCUCACAGUAAAGAAUGUCCCCCUGACAUCCAACCUAAAUCUUCCCUCCUUCAACUUAAAACCAUUUCCCCUUGUUCUGCUGUUAUAUACCCUUUCAAAGAGUUGACUCCCCUCCUGUUUAUAGGCUUCCUUUAGGUACUGGAAGGAUGCAGUGGGGUCACCCCGCAGCCUUCUCUUCUCCAGGCUGAACAAGCCUGGCUCCCUCAGCCUGGCCUUCCUCUGGACCCUCUCCAACAGCUCUGUCUUUCUCGUAUUGGAGGCUCCAGACCUGGAUGCAGUACUCCAAAUGGGGCCUCAUGAGGGCAGAGUAGAGAAGGACAAUCACCUCCCUGUCCCUGCUGGCCACCCCUGUUCUGGUGGAGCCCAGAAAACUGGGCGACUCAUAACCCUCUGUGUUGCUCGCAGUGCAGUUUGCUUGCCUCUGCUCCUGUGUUGCUUUCAGCAACUAUGAUGUUGGCCACCUGUGUUAGCCCUAGCGCAAGCUGGCUAAUUACCUGGUCAGGACCAAAUGACGGCGGACGCACACCAGUAUGAUGAGCAGCAAAAUGGCGUUUAAUCACUACUAAACACAGCUUAUAUAUUUUUACCUAGCAACCGUGCUGGGGAGUGGUGUUGGGGUAUCACUGGGGGGGGACAUCAGGGAGUAGCGUUGGGGUGACAUUCUCGGGGUGAUGUUUUGGGGGGAUUUUGCCAGGGACCUAAAGGCUCGUGAUUGAAGAACAAUCCUGGGGUGGAAGAAAGAAUUCUGAGAGUUUUAAGAGAACUGAUAUUUGUGGCUGUAGUCACAAAUAACUUGUUUUGUAGAGAGAGCUAACCUUGGUAGUUUAUCUUGAUUUGGCCAAGACUUGUUUUGCAAGCAGGUGUUUCACUUGGGCUUUGUGUCAUGCAUUGGACAAGUGAGUGCAGUGUGCAAGUGGAAAAAGGCCUGCAGACCCUGGGUAGAAUAAAAGUAACUGUGACGUUCUCAUCCUCUGGAAUAGGAUUAAUGCUGUAUUUUGACCCAAAUUGUGACAUUCUCACCCUCCAAAAUUGAGUUAAUGAUGUAUCUUGAGUCAAGCUGUGAUGUUCUCGGUCUCUGAAAUGCAAUUAGUGACAUAUUUUGACCCAAACUGUGACCUUCACAUACUCCGGAGUUGGAUUUAUGACCCAUUUUGACACGAGUUGUGCAGUUCUCACUUUCAGAAAUUGGGUUUAUGCACAUAUUUUGGCCCAAUCUAUGACGUUCUCACACUCCAGAAUAGAGUUAAUGACAUAUUCUAACAGCAAUUGUGACACACUCACACUCCAAAAUUGAGUUUGUGACAUAUUUUGACCCAAGUUGGCAUGGCAGAUAUAAUUUGUCCUGAAAAGAAGAAAAUAAAAAAAACCGGAUUUUUCUAAAAUUUUCUGUCUCAACAAACUAGAGCCAGGCAGACUGAAGAAAUAGGAAAAUGUAUCAAUCAGUCUAUCAAAAUGCUCUGGCAAUUGACGAAAGUAUUGAUACUACAGAUAUGGCUCAAUUUGCCAUUUUUGUUAGAGACUGUGAUAACAAAUAUGAUGUCACUGAAGAAACUGCUUCUCUGAUGCCACUGCAAGUCAAAACUAAAUGUCUUGAUUUGUAUGAAGCAGUAAAAACAACAUUAGGGUGAUUUUCUUCAUCCUUUGACAGCAUCUCUGGGUCUGGUGGGAAUGUCCCUUGCCAGCCAAGCCUCUCCACGACUUUGUUUCCAUGAUGUAAAUGUGUAAAUCUCAGCUGUGGUUUCCUGCCGCUCUACAUGACUGGCAAUCCUCACCCACCAUGACAGUGCACACAGCAAGCCCACCGGGAACCUGGCCCUCGUGGCAGAACAGAUCUGCAUCGUGGGGACGUGAGGUCACAGUGCCCCGUGUUGUGCCGUGAGGUCACAAUGCUCAGUGUGUGCCCCAGGCAUUCUGUACCUGUCCCUACAGCAGCACUUGCUGUGGCUGCAGCAGUAGCGGUGGCAGCAUGGCACGAGUGUGGGGGGCCACGGCCCCCACCCGCCUUGCUCUCCUCCUCCUACUGAUGGCCAUGUGUUCCCAGAAGACUUGUGCUGCUCCGUGGCGAGCAUCAGGAACAGGUGGGUGGGCAGAGAUGGGGCCAAAACUGAGUGGCACUGGGGGCGAGAGGCCCAGGCUGUUGUCCCUGUUGCCCUGUGCCACGCUGCCCUGGAGCUGCCUUCCAUGGGGGUGUGCUGAGAGGGGGAGAAGGCAGCACCCCAGGAGCUGGCUGAGAAUGUGUGGAAGCAGUGGUCCCCAGGGCUGGCUCCAGCCACGCUGGGCCAUGGCUCUGCCACUGGCUGAGCAUGGCCUUCACCCUGGGGUUGUCCUGGGGGAGAGCUCUGGAGAAGUGUGCUGGGAAAAGCGUGAGCAUUUCUGCUCUGGCUUCCUGGUGCUCUCCACAGACGAAUCCCAGUUCCCAACAAAGACCCCCGGCUGGAGCCCAGAGGAAGAAACAGGCAUCGUUUCCUCCAAUGCUUCAGUGGCAGAUACAGCAGGGAUCUCCCUGUAAGAAAGCCCUGGUGGGCUCUUCCAUGCGGUCCCGGAGGGGUGUUGCACGUGGCCUGGAGAGAGCAUUUGUAAAGCUGCCGAGUGCCAGGCUCCAGGUCACCCUGGCCACUCUGCAGCUUUGGCAAUCACGGCCUGAGUCUCCCAUCCCAUUACCUGACCCAUCCCCAGUCAGUCAGGGAAAAGGAAAUCACAACAUGCAAUAGGAACAUCUCUCAUCUGUUCUUGAUUCUAGAUGAUGACAUUGGCGCUCCUUACCCAAAUGACUGGGUGAAUAUUGCUUUUGUGCCUCAGGGGAAACCCAGAGGUAAGUUGUGAGUACCCGUUUCCUUGAAGGCAGAAAAAUUAGUGCUGUAGUAGUGUAUUCAGGUACGUAAGAACCUCCAAAGUACUUUCAAGUCUCUUUGUGCCUUAAAGGCCAUACGCAGAUCAGUCGUAAGUCUUUCUUUUCAAAUUUGGCUUGGUCUCUGUACAUCAGAGAUCUCCCCAGUAAGAAAACCCAAAUGCUCUUCCAUGCUGUCUCUGAGGAUUGUUUCACGUGGCCCAGAGAGAGUAUCUGGAAAGCUGCUGAGUGCCAGCCAACUGCCUACCUGGCCCCUCUGCAACUUUGCAACUUUCGACCCAGGUCUAGGUGCCAUGUUGUCACCAGAGCCCCUUUCAGUCACUGAAGGUCCCUAAGGGAGAGAGAGAUUACAAGACGCCAUGGGAAUGUUUCUCAUCACCACUUGAUUAGAGCUAUGCCUAUAAGCAGUGUCUUGCCAAAGCCUCAGCAUAAUCUGGUCCACGAGUGUCAGGGCAAUCCCACAGGAAAGGGCCUUUAGAUCUUCCCCUUCUACGCCCUUCCCUUCUCCAGACAGUUCCGCACAUGAGUCCUUUUUGGACUGGCACGGUGCUGCUGCAGCAACUAUUUGCCAGAUGCUUCCAGCGCAGCAGGGAGAGUAGAGUGCUGUGGAGCAAUGCUGUCACUCCAGUCUAAACAAGUACCUGGCCGUGUCUGACAGAAGCUGCUCCAUGUUUGUUUGCAGGUGCAGGUGGAGUUGAAUGGGAUCCAGCUUCCCAGCUGAGCUCCAUGCCAGAAGCCCCAGCAACUCCUAUGGGCCCUGAGAGACGGAAAGAGGCACUGGGAAAAGGAAAAUAUCCGCAGAGGCUGUCCCAUAUCCUAAAGAAAAUCAUGAAGGAGAAGGCAGCACAUGUGCUGUCAGAGCCCCGGGAAGCCCAACACAACAGGAUCUAUGAUCCUUUUCUGAAGAAUCCAGGUGUGGAUGGUGAAGGACGUGCAAAAGCCGAGCAAAUUAAAGCUACACAGAAGUACUACCUGGAACUUGCUGCAGCUGUCCCGGUUUCCCUAUUGCUAGGGAUGAUUCUGUGCUGUCUACUUAUCUGGCGAUGGAGGCAGAGAAACCAGCGCCUCGCUGCAGCUGAUGAAGCCCGGGAUGAUAGCAGCAGCUCCAGUUCAGAGUCAGAUGAACAGCCUGCCCACCUCGAGGGGCCCAAAAGACAGACAUGGUGGCAACCACCUGUGUGGGGACGACCUGCCCACCUGCUGCAGGACACCACCAGAGCAGCCCCUGCCAGGCUGGACAGCAGCCAGGCUCAGCUGCCCCCCACCUCGGCCCCCGCGGCCCACCGGCCUGGGCUCCACAUCCCGGGGGAUGCGCAACAGGCCCAGCAGCCCCCAGACCCACCGGGCAUCAGCACAGCCCCCCCCGUCCCCCUCCACCAUCCUUCAGGGGACGGAAGGAACCUGCCCGGGGUAGAGGCUCGCAGUCAUUGGCCAGCACUGAAACAACGGCUCCCCAGCAGAUGAGCGACAGGCCCAGCAGCCCCCGGCCCCCCCGGGCAUCAACACCACCCCCCCGUCCCCCUCCACCAUCCUUCAGGGGACGGAAGGAACCUGCCCGGGGUGGAGGCUUGCGGUCAUCGGCCGGCACUGAAAUAACGGCUCCCCGGCAGAUGAGCAACAGGCCCAGCAGCCCCCGGCCACCAACGCCGCCCCCCCGACCUCUGCCUCCUCCUCCUCCACCAUCCUUCAGGGGACGGGAGCGGUCCCCUCAGGGUGUCGGCUCGGGGGCAUCGUCCAGCACCCAGACAACCGCUGCCUCAGGGAAGCCUGAGAGGCCCAGCAGCCCUCAGCCCCUCCCAGCACCACCUCUGCCUUCCCCCUCCCCUCCACCAUCCAUCAGGGGAGGGAAGCAAUCCCCGCAGAGUGCAGACUUGGGGAAAAUGUCCAACAGACGGACAACCACUGCCUGGGGGAAGC
ensembl:lncRNA